AUUGAACGCUGGCGGCAGGCUUAACACAUGCAAGUCGAGCGGGGUGAUGGUGCUUGCACUAUCACUUAGCGGCGGACGGGUGAGUAAUGCUUAGGAAUCUGCCUAUUAGUGGGGGACAACAUCUCGAAAGGGAUGCUAAUACCGCAUACGUCCUACGGGAGAAAGCAGGGGAUCACUUGUGACCUUGCGCUAAUAGAUGAUCCUAAGUCGGAUUAGCUAGUUGGUGGGGUAAAGGCCUACCAAGGCGACGAUCUGUAGCGGGUCUGAGAGGAUGAUCCGCCACAAUGGGACUGAGACACGGCCCAGACUCCUACGGGAGGCAGCAGUGGGGAAUAUUGGACAAUUGGGGGAACCCUGAUCCAGCCAUGCCGCGUGUGUGAAGAAGGCCUUAUGGUUGUAAAGCACUUUAAGCGAGGAGGAGGCUCGUUUGGUUAAUACCCAAGAUGAGUGGACGUUACUCGCAGAAUAAGCACCGGCUAACUCUGUGCCAGCCGCCGCGGUAACAC
rnacentral:rRNA from 1 species